GUGGGGAAUAUUGGGCAAUGGGCGCAAGCCUGACCCAGCAACGCCGCGUGAAGGAAGAAGGCUUUCGGGUUGUAAACUUCUUUUACCAGGGACGAAACAAAUGACGGUACCUGGUGAAUAAGCCACGGCUAACUACGUGCCAGCAGCCGCGGUAAUACGUAGGUGGCGAGCGUUAUCCGGAUUUAUUGGGUGUAAAGGGCGUGUAGGCGGGACAGCAAGUCAGAUGUGAAAACCAGAGGCUCAACCUCUGGCCUGCAUUUGAAACUGUUGUUCUUGAGUGUCGGAGAGGUAAUCGGAAUUCCGGGUGUAGCGGUGAAAUGCGUAGAUAUACGGAGGAACACCAGUGGCGAAGGCGGAUUACUGGACGAUAACUGACGAUGAAGCGCGCGAGCGUGGGGAGCAAAACGCAUUAGAAACCCUUGUAGUCU
rnacentral:rRNA from 1 species